rnacentral:rRNA from 1 species
UACGUAGGCAGCGAGCGUUGUUCGGAGUUACUGGGCGUAAAGGGUGUGUAGGCGGUUGUUUAAGUUUGGUGUGAAAUCUCCCGGCUCAACUGGGAGGGUGCGCCGAAUACUGAAUGACUAGAGUGCGGGAGAGGAAAGUGGAAUUCCUGGUGUAGCGGUGAAAUGCGUAGAUAUCAGGAGGAACACCGGUGGUGUAGACGGCUUUCUGGACCGUAACUGACGCUGAGGCGCGAAAGCGUGGGGAGCGAACAGG